CCGAAAUGUUUUCCAACGGCACUAAAGCGUUACUUUCCCGGAACCCUCAUCAUUAAGGUUCCAUCUAGUAACCCCUGAAGGGUUUGUCCUUUGGGAGAAAUCCAUGAAGGUUCUACGUGGAACCGUAAGCGUUUCACGUAGAAACCUUUAGAAAGCUUGAAGUGUUAACCAGCCAAACAUCCUCUAAGGAGAUGUUUUUUAAGGAGUGUACUUCCUGUUUCCUGUCUGGUACUUACUGGACCACCAAGUGUUCUGACUGACAAGUGGAGUCUCUUUGGGAUCCUUUUCAUACCGGGAUUCACAACGUGAAUCCCAACAAACGCUGUCUUCUGUGCUUGGAUAGGCUUGUACGUCUCUCUCCAGUCGAAACAGACAAACGUCUACCUUUUAAGAACUUUUCCACUCGAGGAACCGGGGACCAUUUUCGUCGGUGCUUUUCUGUGCACGAGGAAGUACUGGUGCUAAAGGUUACUGCAGUAAACGUUACCGAUUGGUCAAAAGCACGCUUUAAGAGAACCACCAAGCAGAUUACUAAGAGUCCUGCAACGGGGUGGGAUGCAAAACAGAAACGUUUUAAUUCUCCGUCUGGAUCAUUGCGUAACUUCUGGCUCACGUGGUCUGAUGUUAUGACUGCACCGAUCCGAUCUAUGAUACGAUAUCGAUAUCAGAGCUCCAACGAUCAACCGCUACCCGAUAGAGCUGUCUUUACAGCAUCUGUCUGCUCUUGGCAAGUUCUGAAAAAGAUCAGGGAGAGCUUUGAGCUCUGAACACAUCACAUGCGUUCAGAGCAUAAGAUACGCCAAGGGGGUCAGGGAUCGAUGCGAAAUCCAAUUCAACAUGAAACCACUCCAGCGUGAGAGGCCGAUAUCGCUUCGGCCUCGCUUUAUAUACAUCACAAAAGCCCCAGGUUGAUAAGCAGAAAUAAAAAAUAAGCCGAGAACUGGAGUGCAUACGGAAAGACAUUCAGAAAAUGUUCGAAGAACCACUAUACGGAGGUACGGAAUAAAUGAAGUUUGGGAGAAAACGUCACGCUUGAAAUCGGAGUCCAGAACUCCUCCAGCCCAAGCGCUCAGAGUCUUUCUCUACAAUCACUCUCGUUGUCGUCUAGUCGACAGCAUGGUCUACAUUCUCAACUCCUGAUUCGUACGCAAAAGGAUUGGGGAUGAUCCUCGGUGCUUGAGGGAGUAUUUGGACAUCGUAGAAAGGUAUAAAGGUCCGACAUGCCAACCCGAGAUUUGUUCAUGAGGACGUGAAGGAUGACGGCGAGACGCCAGUGCCGACGGGAACAGGUCAGCCGGCUCCGGCGGCUCUAGGACGAGCGCUUGCACAACCUCGACAUGAACAUCAACAUCGCUGAGAAAACAGACGGUAUCUCGUGUUGACACACUGGCUGAUCAAACAAGCGUGUGGAAGGUUUCAAACACACACAAUACACACACACACACACGGGCAUUUCAGUACAUAACGAUAGAUCCGAAUCAGA
ensembl:lncRNA